GACGAACGCUGGCGGCGUGCUUAACACAUGCAAGUCGAACGGUGAAGCGCUUUCCUUUUUGGUUGGUGUGGAUGAGUGGCGAACGGGUGAGUAACACGUGAGUAACCUGCCCCCUUCUUCUGGAUAACCGCAUGAAAGUGUGGCUAAUACGGGAUAUUCUGCGCCUGCUGCAUGGUGGGUGUGGGAAAGAUUGUGCCUUUGGGUGUUUUCGGUGGGGGAUGGGCUCGCGGCCUAUCAGCUUGUUGGUGGGGUGAUGGCCUACCAAGGCGGUGACGGGUAGCCGGCCUGAGAGGGUGGACGGUCACACUGGGACUGAGACACGGCCCAGACUCCUACGGGAGGCAGCAGUGGGGAAUAUUGCACAAUGGGCGCAAGCCUGAUGCAGCGACGCCGCGUGAGGGAGGGAGGCCUUCGGGGUGUGAACCUCUUUCGCCAGUGAAGCAGGCCUGCUCCUUGUGGGUGGGUUGACGGUAGCUGGAGAAGAAGCGCCGGCUAACUACGUG
rnacentral:rRNA from 1 species